rnacentral:rRNA from 1 species
GAUGAACGCUGGCGGCGUGCCUAAUACAUGCAAGUCGAGCGAACGGACGAGAAGCUUGCUUUUCUGAUGUUAGCGGCGGACGGGUGAGUAACACGUGGAUAACCUACCUAUAAGACUGGGAUAACUUCGGGAAACCGGAGCUAAUACCGGAUAAUAUUUUGAACCGCAUGGUUCAAAAGUGAAAGACGGUCUUGCUGUCACUUAUAGAUGGAUCCGGGCUGCAUUGGCUAGUUGGUAAGGUAACGGCUUACCAAGGCAACGAUGCAUAGCCGACCUGAGAGGGUGAUCGGCCACACUGGAACGGAGACACGGUCCAGGCUCCUACGGGAGGCAGCAGUAGGGAAUCUUACGCAAUGGGCGAAAGCCUGACGGAGCAACGCCGCGUGAGUGAUGAAGGUCUUCGGAUCGUAAAACUCUGUUAUUAGGGAAGAACAUAUGUGUAAGUAACUGUGCACAUCUUGACGGUACCUAAUCAGAAAGCCACGGCUAACUACGUG